UAGGGCGCAAGCGUUGUCCGGAUUUAUUGGGCGUAAAGAGCUCGUAGGCGGCUUGUCGCGUCGACUGUGAAAACCCGCAGCUUAACUGCGGGACUGCAGUCGAUACGGGCAGGCUAGAGUUCGGUAGGGGAGACUGGAAUUCCUGGUGUAGCGGUGAAAUGCGCAGAUAUCAGGAGGAACACCGGUGGCGAAGGCGGGUCUCUGGGCCGAUACUGACGCUGAGGAGCGAAAGCGUGGGGAGCGAACAGG
rnacentral:rRNA from 1 species